rnacentral:lncRNA from 1 species
GUCUCAGCUCGAGCAUUCCUAGCGCCAACACGCCCUCAGGUAAAGGUGGAAGUAAAUGGCCACGCUGUAUUGACAGAGCAGGUAGAUGAAACUCAAGAGAAAAGGUGUGGAUAAAUGAAACUAGCCCAUGAUGAACCUGUUUUCUCCGUGACCACAAUAUUAACCAGGAUGAAUGGCGGUGGCAGUGGGCCUGCAUCACAGGUUGCAGCAGAUGUUCUCAAUAUUUCUAUUAAAAUUUCCUUAUUUCCAUAUGCAAGAGGAGCCCCAGAGCUGCAUCCUUAUGGUAGCUACCAUGCCGUGAUGUAAGCUGCCAUUCACUGGGGAGCUUUGGCAAUAGAAUUGGCUAGAUCAGGAAGCCUAUGUCAACUAUGGAACAACAACUUGCAGCUCAUCUCUAUUGAUGGUGAAACAGUCGCAAAUGGAAUUCCAAGAAACAUUCUAUCAUCAGGUAUUAUCUACUGCUGUCUGCAGAAUUCAGACAUGGAGGGCUCAAUGGUGUCCCCUGGUCUUUGGAACAUUCUGUAUUUUAAUGAUCAUGAUACACUGCCUCUAGGACUGGGACAGAUAGCCACUGAGUACCUGCUUCAAAUCACCCUGCACGUUUUCUCUUUGGAAAGAUAAGCACUGGAGAACCAUCUCGUUACCUUCAGCAGAAAUGGAAACAAAUCAAGACAUUAAGAAUGCCGCAGUGGACAGCAGUUAUGCAAGGUUCAGCAGAGGAAGUUUUCAAGAUGGUGUGCCUCACUAGCCAGAAAUCAGAAAAGAUCGAAGCUAGCCUUUUCAUCUCAGCUGCUCCUUAAAUCAGUGCAACCCCUCCAAAUUAAUGUGAAUUGAAACUUGCAUUGCUUUUCAACUUAAUUGAAUACUUACUAUAUGUGAACCACUGCACAAAAUAGGGGAAGAAGAUGUGGGAGACAAAGAUGUGGAGCCUGUCUUCAAUAAAUUUACAGUUAGUUUCAGGGUACAUUGUUUUUCUUCUGCUGUUAAUUAGGUGUAUCCCCAAGACAAUAAAUACAUGAAUGGAAAAGUAUAUUCUGUGUUUUAAGUCUCUUUAAUAAAAAACAAAACAAAAUCCAAAAAAACUCCUAACAUGGCAACUCAGGACAUUUUAAUCCUUUUUUUUGUUGUUGGGCUUCUGAUAGGAUCCAUUUUAUUGAUUCCAUAAAUAUUUAGUAGACUUUAGACAUAUUAAUACAUUGUAGUUUGAGUUAAUUUGCAUUAAAUUCUGUUUUUUUCCCCUUAGGUAUAGAUUGUCUGUUGGAAAAAUAUAUUGCUUGUGGAUUUCUUGGGGAGUGGGAAGGUGAAUUAUACCUGUUGUCUCUACAGUCCACUACCUUCCACACCCUAGGGCAGUGGUCCCCAACCUUCUUGGCACCAGGGAUCAGUUUCCUGGAAGACAAUUUUUCUGUGGAUGGUGUGGGGAUGGUUUUGGGAUGGAACUGUUCCACCUCAGAUCAUCAGGCAUUAGUUAGGCUCUCAUAACGAGUGCGCAGCCUAGAUCCCUCACAUGCACAGUUCACAGUAGGGUUUGCGCUGCUAUGAGAAUCUAAGGCUGCCACUGAUCUGACAGGAGGCAGAACUCAGGUGGCAAUGCUUACUGGCCCACUGCUCACCUCUUGCUGUGCGGCCUGGUUCCUAAUAGGCCAUGGACCCCCACAGACGGGUACUAGUCUGCAGCCUGUGGACCCCAGCCCUAGGGGCCUGCCAUUCUGAGUGAGUUAUUAGCAUGAAGAAGAGGAAGAUCUGGAUCAAACGUGGGUGAUGGUACUCAGAGACCCAAGAUAGGAUAGGGAUGGAACAAAAUCCAUCUGGGCAACGGCUCUAUGAAAAUUUGGCUAAGUAAUUAUUUCAGUAUUCAUUGUAUUCAUUGUCCUUCGUGUUCCAUAAGUUAAAUGACUGUCUAAUUUUUCCAAAAAUUUAUUUCUGACUUGAGAAUAAGUGUGUCAUGAUUUUCCCAGUGUAAAGACACUGAUAUAACUGUAGAUACCAGACAUUUUAUGUAGUGUCUAUGACACAUUUUAGUAUGUAUGAGCCAACAAUAGACAUGUCUUUGUCUUGAGGAGUGUCCAUCUGAAUUGAAAAUGUGUCAGCUUUUUUUUAACAUCAUCAACAGACUUCUUAAUUAAGCUGCCAAUACAUACUGCCAAUAGCACUGUGUGCUGUCUGAGAAAUGCAUUGUGUAAGUGCUAUUUCCAUCUUAUUAAAUAAACAAUGUUGCUCUGUAUAAACUGGAUUUAAAGUGUUCUUUGAAUGAGGCAUUAUAUUGCUCCAUAAAUAAUGUGAUGUGAAUUCUCAUAUGAUCCCUUUUAACUUAAUUUCUAAAAAAAUAUUAUUUGCUCCUCAGUAAGGAAUAGCUCUAAUUGGACUGGUAACUUUAGUGAUAUGAUUUGUCUGUAACAGGCUGAAUCGCCCCACUCCCAAACUCCUGGUCGUGAUACUGGAUAUUUGUUAUGCCACUUUUAGUUUGCAUGAGGUAUCUUCCAGGAAGUAUUAGUUAUUAACUUGUGUUCUACUAAACUGUAGAUAUUUAUUUCCUGUUCUGGAAGAUUUCUUGGAGUGUCCAUCUGUGCAUUCCUGGUGCCUAGUGUAGUCUUGCUAAUGGAAUAGCACCUUUAUUGGUGCUACUUAGGGGUUGGUAGCUUACAAUCAAUCUACUUGGAACGUAUCCAAAUAAACUGGAUAUUUUUAUACA